GGUCGCCCCUCCCCCCUCGCCACCUCCCGCGCCGCCCCAAACUCAACCCCGUCGGCCGUCGCGCCUUCCCUCCCACGCUGCCGCUCCCUUGUCGCGCGCUCGCCUCCCUCACACCCGUUCCCCUGCGAUAUGUAGGGCUGCGGCGUGCGGCGUGAGGGGCCGUGAUGGUGUUGUUGGAGCCGCGGCAACGGUGUAUGGCGCAAGGGGCAACUGCGGUGCUGCGCGGAGUCGCAACGGGGCGCGGAGCUGCGGCGGCGGCGCGAGGGGCGUGCCGCCGCGGCGUGCAGAUCCUGGUGCGGGGCAGGGCGGCGCAAGCUGCCACCCGCUGCGGCGAUCCACCCAGCUGACCCUCGGGAGCCCCGACGGGGCGCAAGGAGAAGCCCUGUUCUCCUUCCCUUUCUUCCCCAGAUCUGGAGUUGCGGCGGGCGGCACAUGCACCGACCUACCCGUAGGGAGCGGCUGGCUACUCACGGGGGAACUUCCUAUCGGGAGUUGCUGCGUGAGGUCGCAUGGGGCACGGGCGAGGGUGACAGCAAGCAUGAAUCCAUUGAGAUCCAUGGAAGUUACUGCCUCAUCGAUGUGCCAGGCGCUGCCGCGGUGAGCCUUCCGCGAGAGGGCUUUCAACUUUUAACAAAAAUGCUUUUGGAACUGUGGAUGGCAGAAGAUUGGUGCUUGCAUACUACGUCGCUGGCAUUCCCUAUGCCUAGCUCAUAGCUUUCGUCUUUGCGCAUUGGCGGGAUGGUGAGCGGCAAUAUCUUUUCUCUCAUACCCCCAACAAACGUCGAGGCCGCGAAUUGCAGCUUCUCUCUUCAACUAUAAAAUCUGCAGCCCCCCUAGCUGUGUUCCUGCUGAGAGAAGAUUGCUGCGUCCCUGGUUUGAUAAUGCAGAAAGUGUAUGGUACUGGAGGUGUCGAUCAAACCUCAUUCACAUCUGCUAUUCCUUGGGGUGUUAUCAGCAAUAGUCUGUAUCUGUACAUCUUCGGGGUUUUCAGCUAUAUUAUAGUUGCCAACAGCAGCCUCAACACUGCCCAAAGCAGGCAACACCUGCUGUUCUGGACCCUGCACAAUGUAUGUACUGCCCCCUAUCCUGAAGCUUGAGCUGCUUCUGUGCAAUAUGUAGAAUUGCCAUCUAACUCAUCUAGGAAAUCAUAAUCAAAUUCUGGCGGGAGCUCAUUUAGAUCCAUUCUUUUCCACUGGUUUUUCCCUAUUCUAUUACUGCACAGCCCUUGCGUUGUUGACCUUGUGUCAUCAUGAAAGUCGAAAUAAGAGUUGGUAGCAAAUUAAUUUUAUUGCCAUUAAUACAAAGCCUAGGAUAUAUGCUCUUUAGAAGCAGGCAAACGCUCAACGUUUAAACUUACUGACUGCUACAGAUGAUAUUAUUUUAUCAGCUGAUAACUGUGUAUUUUUUGUCAAUCAACUGACUUUUCUUCUUUCUUUCUUUCUUCAUCCUGUCAGCUGGCAAUCGUGUAUAUUGUUUUGUUAGUCAACUCAUUUUAUUUUCUUCUUUCUUUCUUUGUCCUCACACAAGCAUCAAGCUGUUGUGAGAUGGACAUCUUUUAUCAGUGCAAGGACAUCUUGAAGAUCUAAAAGUUUCGACUUAUAGCGUCCUUCCUAUGCUGAAUUUUACUGCUUCAAUACCCUCGUUACCUACGCCUACACUCAAGCAACACGACAAGGGCAGGGAUUUCUAGAGCUGACCAGUAUUAUGCUUCCUAUCCUGCUAGUACUGAGUUACUGGCUGAUACAACAAAGCUUUACAAAGCGGCAUUAGGUAAUUGUUUUCAAAUAGAUGACUGGGCCCAAUAGAAUUCUCCAUCAGGACAAAGCAUAUUUUGACUUCAUUUCUACUGUAUAAUAAAAGCUAACAUGCCGGAGUGGGGAGGAAUGGAACAGCCGAGGUCAGGCAAGGUUGGCACACCAUUGAGCAGAUUCGGCAUCAAGCAAUUUUUUUUCUCCCCCCCCCCCCCCCCCCAAAAAAAAAAAAUCUGCUGCACAUGUCUGCCUACGUUCAGCUCCAAGCUCCUGUUAAAAUGCUCAAGCAGAUUUUUUGGCUUUUUUCCUCCCCAAAAUCUACUGUACAUGUCAGCCUACAUGUAAACUUGUGUAAGGGAAAUGGAAAUGGAGAUGGAGGCUUCAAGGGAA